rnacentral:rRNA from 1 species
ACGGGAGGCAGCAGUGGGGAAUAUUGCACAAUGGGGGAAACCCUGAUGCAGCGACGCCGCGUGAAGGAUGACGUAUUUCGGUAUGUAAACUUCUAUCAGCAAGGAAGAUGAUGACGGUACUUGACUAAGAAGCCCCGGCUAACUACGUGCCAGCGGCCGCGGUAAUACGUAGGGGGCAAGCGUUAUCCGGAUUUACUGGGUGUAAAGGGAGCGCAGGCGGCCAUGCAAGUCAGAUGUGAAAUCCCGGGGCUCAACCCCGGAACUGCAUUUGAAACUGUAGCCCUUGAGUAUCGGAGAGGCAAGCGGAAUUCCUAGUGUAGCGGUGAAAUGCGUAGAUAUUAGGAGGAACACCAGUGGCGAAGGCGGCUUGCUGGACGACAACUGACGCUGAGGCGCGAAAGCGUGGGGAGCAAACAGGAUUAGAUACCCUGGUA